rnacentral:rRNA from 1 species
GUCUACGGCCAUACCACCCUGAACGCGCCCGAUCUCGUCUGAUCUCGGAAGCUAAGCAGGGUCGGGCCUGGUUAGUACUUGGAUGGGAGACCUUGAAGGGGAAAACCUACUGGCUCUGUGAACU